rnacentral:rRNA from 1 species
GACGGAGGAUGCAAGUGUUAUCCGGAAUCACUGGGCGUAAAGCGUCUGUAGGUGGUUUAAAAAGUCUACUGUUAAAGCUUGAAGCUUAACUUCAAAAAUGCCGUAGAAACUUUUAAACUUGAGUAUGGUAGGGGUAGAGGGAAUUUCCAGUGGAGCGGUGAAAUGCGUAGAUCUUGGAAAGACCACCAAUGGCGAAGGCGGCGAACCUGGUCCAUUACUGACGCUGAGGCGCGAAAGCGUGGGGAGCAAACAGG